CCUACGGGAGGCAUCAGUGAGGAAUAUUGGUCAAUGGUCGGGAGACUGAACCAGCCAAGCCGCGUGAGGGAGGAAGGUACAGAGUAUCGUAAACCUCUUUUGUCAGGGAACAAAGGCGGGGACGUGUCCCCGGCUGAGUGUACCUGAAGAAAAAGCAUCGGCUAACUCCGUGCCAGCAGCCGCGGUAAUACGGAGGAUGCGAGCGUUAUCCGGAUUUAUUGGGUUUAAAGGGUGCGCAGGCGGUCUGUUAAGUCAGCGGUCAAAGCCCGGGGCUCAACCCCGGCCUGCCGUCGGAACUGCCGGGG
rnacentral:rRNA from 1 species